rnacentral:rRNA from 1 species
GACGAACGCUGGCGGCGUGCCUAAUACAUGCAAGUAGAACGCUGAAGGAGGAGCUUGCUUCUCUGGAUGAGUUGCGAACGGGUGAGUAACGCGUAGGUAACCUGCCUGGUAGCGGGGGAUAACUAUUGGAAACGAUAGCUAAUACCGCAUAAGAGUGGAUGUUGCAUGACAUUUGCUUAAAAGGUGCACUUGCAUCACUACCAGAUGGACCUGCGUUGUAUUAGCUAGUUGGUGGGGUAACGGCUCACCAAGGCGACGAUACAUAGCCGACAGAGAGGGUGAUCGGCCACACUGGGACUGAGACACGGCCCAGACUCCUACGGGAGGCAGCAGUAGGGAAUCUUCGGCAAUGGACGGAAGUCUGACCGAGCAACGCCGCGUGAGUGAAGAAGGUUUUCGGAUCGUAAAGCUCUGUUGUAAGAGAAGAACGAGUGUGAGAGUGGAAAGUUCACACUG